UACGUAGGCAGCAAGCGUUGUUCGGAGUUACUGGGCGUAAAGGGUGCGUAGGCGGCUCUAUAAGUAUGGUGUGAAAUCUCCCGGCUUAACUGGGAGGGUGCGCUAUAGACUGUGGGGCUAGAGGGUGGGAGAGGAAAGUGGAAUUCCUGGUGUAGCGGUGAAAUGCGUAGAUAUCAGGAGGAACACCGGUGGUGUAAACGGCUUUCUGGACCACUUCUGACGCUGAGGAACGAAAGCUAGGGGAGCAAACAGG
rnacentral:rRNA from 1 species